rnacentral:rRNA from 1 species
UACAGAGGUCUCAAGCGUUAUCCGGAUUCACUGGGUUUAAAGGGUGCGUAGGUGGGCAGGUAAGUCAGUGGUGAAAUCUCCGGGCUUAACCCGGAAACUGCCAUUGAUACUAUUUGUCUUGAAUACCGUGGAGGUCAGCGGAAUAUGUCAUGUAGCGGUGAAAUGCUUAGAUAUGACAUAGAACACCAAUUGCGAAGGCAGCUGGCUACACGAAUAUUGACACUGAUGCACGAAAGCGUGGGGAUCAAACAGG